CCUGUUUUAGCUCUUCUCAAACACAGGCCAUUUGGACCUUUCUACAUGGCAAAUUGCUGCGGUAGAGUUCAUGUCUUGAGUGUGACAACUUCAACAUCUUAGCAGAAUUCGAUGGAGAAUGCAUCUUCCAUUUUCGUUCGCCAGACUGGACGAAUCUUCAAGCAGAAGAUACAGUGGCGUUGAAGGGAGAUUCAAAACUGUUACAAAUGAGGAAAUAGAGAAAUUUUUCGACUCCAGGCAAGCAAAAUCAACAAAAAGAAAUACAGCAUGGGGAUUUUUCAAGAUUGGAACAUGGAGAUCUAUGGUUCUGUACUAAUGGUGCAACAUUAGACCUGCAAACAGCAAAUGUGUCAACUCUUGCCAGUCAUCUCUCGUGAUUUUAUUGUGAAGCCAGCCCCAAAGAAAAAGUUGAUGAUG